CUCCGACGAUUUGACAACUCCUCAGUCGUCUGCACCAUUAAUGAUGGGACCAUACCGCAUUCUACUAUAAAAUGGGGUAAGGCAACAGUAUUGGGGAGGUCCCAGGUCCUAAGUCCCGAGGGCUGAGUCUCGAGAAGCGCCUCUUAGCUCUUGAGCACUCUCUCUCUCUCCCGCUGAGCCCCUGAUUUUCCACUGUUGCCUAGUCUCCUCUCUAACUUGACCGUCGGAGGGUCCCCACCGGAGGCAUCUCCGGUCUGUGAGGACUUUUCUUACAGGUGCGCGACACCGACGAUCGGACGACGGGGGGAUUGGCCGCAACAGAUUUUGGUGCGCCAGGAAGGGGGGUAUUCGACAGAGGUAAGCCAGUGAGCUCCACAGAGCUUGAAAAGCCUCUCGAAAUGAUGAAAACCAGAGCUCAACGAUCGAGAGCUACUGGAUCGGCGAGGCGCUUUUCCCGUCGGGAAGAGGCCCCUCCUUCGUCGUCCAUGGCGGAGCCCAGCUCUCCGCAUCCGGUGAUAACUACGGAGGCGCAGAUCGCAACGAUCGUGCGGCAGAUAACCGUUCUGACAGACGCGGUCAAAAACCUCCAACAGCAACCGACUCAGUUGCCGCAACCGCCGGUGGAACAACCAGCGGCGCACCCUCUGCCGUCCAGAAGCAGCCGCCGACGUCCGCGUCAACUUCCGUCUCCUUCUCAAGAGCAGCCGCCUCUGCACUCCCACCGAGAAGGGGCGAGGCGGCCGCGGUGCGACACCCAUCGAUCUUGACGUCCUUCUCCUUCCCAGCUGGAGCGGUCGAGGAAGGAGAAGCGGCCGCGGACACCGUCCGCCUCACUCUCAAGUUCGUCGGGAGGUUCGACUCCCAAGAUUUCUCAACACCGACGGUUGGACGACUACGAACGUAAGUUUGAAGAGAUCGACCAUCGGCUCUCCCAACUCCAAGUGGAUGGUCAGAAGUCUUCGAACGACGUCGACUUCCAAACCACCCAACCUCUCUCCCGAUUUGUCCUCGACGAAUCGAUCCCUAGUCGGUUCAAGAUGCCUCAUGUAGAGCCCUACGACGGCUCCACCGAUCCUGUUGACCAUCUGGAGAGCUACAAAGCUCUCAUGACAAUUCAGGGGGCAACCGAUGCCCUCUUUUGCAUCGGCUUCCCCGUCACGCUCCGUAAGGCUGCCAGGGCCUGGUACUCCGACCUCCGCUCAGGGAGUAUCCACUCCUUCGGACUGCUCGAGCAUUCUUUCGUGGCUCACUUCAGCACCAGUCGGAAGCCGCCGCGAACCUCAGACAGUCUUUUCUCCCUCAAACAGGGGAAAAACGAGACGCUCCGACACUUUGUGGCCCGAUUCAAUGCGGCCACACUUGAGGUCUGGGACCUCAAUGAAGACAUGGCCAUCUCAGCCAUGAAGAGGGGGCUAAGGGGGUUCCGGUUCACAUAUUCCUUGGACAAGACCCUCCCCCGGACGUAUGCUGAAUUGCUGGAGCGCGCAUACAAAUACAUGCGCGGAUGAAGGAGCUUCCGACCGGUGCCUGACCAAAGAUGCGAGCCAAAAGGAGAAGCGGAAGAAAAGUCGGGCUGCUGCUGACCCAACAGGCCCCUGACCGAUAAGCUGGUCUCGCUCCGACGACGGAGCCCGAGAUCGUCCCGACGUCGGAGUCCGAGACCGACGCAUCACAGGUAUGACUCCUACACUCCUCUCUCUGCUCCUCGUGCGCAGAUCCUAAUGGAGAUAGAAGGAGCAGAAUAUCUACAAUGACCCCCGCCUCUGAAGGCAAAGGGCCUCGAUCGGAGAAGAUACUGUCGGUUCCAUCGAGGCCACGGUCACACCACCGAGCAAUGCAUCCAACUCAAGGAUGAAAUAGAGGCCCUCAUACGACGAGAGUAUCUCGGAAAGUAUCGAAGGGACCCCCCGGCUCGGCCCACUUCCGACCAACGACCCCAGCCAACUGAAGGGGCGGUGAAUAACCAGCCUACCGCUGGAGUCAUCAACAUGAUCUCCAGACGACUGGAUCAGGGGACGACUGCUGGAGAGGAAUCGACGAAGAGGCCGCGCCAGGAUAAUAUAAUCAUCUUCACAGAUGAGGAUGCUCGAAAAAUCCAAACUCUCCAUGAUGACGCUGUUAUUGUCUCGACGACGAUAGCGAACUAUGAUGUAAAAAGAAUUCUUGUUGAUAAUGAAAGCUCCACUAAUGUUUUGUUUUACUCGAUUUUUUUUCGAAUGCAACUGUCGACCGACCGACUCAGGAGAGUCUCUACGCCCCUGGUGGGUUUCGCCAGGGAAGCCGUCGCGGUGGAAGGAGAAAUUACUCUUCCCGUGACAGCUGGGACCAAACCGAGACAAAGCACUGUCCAUAUGACGUUCAUGAUCGUCCAAGUACCUUCGGCCUACAACACCAUACUUGGAAGAUCCGGACUAAACGCCCUCAGGACGAUAGUCUCGACAUACCACUUGCUGGUCCGAUUUUCGACUAAAAAUGGAGCCGAAAAAAUGCGCGGGGAUCAACAACUCACCCGGCAGUGCUUCCAAAUUUUUACUCAAAGUAAUGAAUCAAAGAACUCCCUGACGGUCGACAAGCUGGACCAACGGGAAGAGGAGCAGAGAGAACUGGCUGAACAGCUGAUUUCCAUCCCGAUGAUCGAGAAUCCUGAACAGGUCGUCUGGGUCGGGUCGCAGUUGUCCGACCCGGAGCGACGGCAGCUAGUAGAGCUGUUGAAAGCUAACGCCGACGUAUUCGCUUGGUCGACAGCGGAUAUGUCCGGCAUACCUCCGGAAACAAUGACUCACCGGUUCAACAUCGCCCCUGAUGCGAAGCUGAUGAGAUAAAAGAAACGGGCUUUCACCCUCGAAAGGCAGAAGGCCAUCGACGAGGAAGUGGACAAGCUACUCGAGACGGGCUUCAUCAGAGAAACCACUAUCCCGACUAGCUCGCAAAUAUCAUCAUGGUGAAGAAAGUCAACGAAAAGUGGAGGAUCUGCAUCGACUACACCGACUUAAAUCGAGCUUNNNNNNNNNNNNNNNNNNNNGCUCGAAGGAUAGCUUUCCCCUACCGAAGAUCGACCAACUGGUGGAUACGACGUCCGAUUAUCGACUGCUCAGCUUCAUGGAUGCCUUCUUCGGAUAUAACCAGAUCCGAAUGGCGCCCGAGGACGAAGAGAAUACGGCCUUCGUGACCGCCAAGAGCCUCUACUGCUACAAAGUGAUGCCCUUCGGUCUGAAGAAUGCCGGGGCCACCUACCAACGCCUCGUCAAUAAGAUCUUCAAAGACUAAAUCGGGCGCAACAUGGAGGUGUAUGUGGAUGACAUGCUGGUGAAGAGCGCGCAGGCUUCAGAUCACGUCCAGGACCUGGAAGAGACCUUCCGCACUCUCCGACGACAUCGGAUGAAGCUAAAUCGACUAAGUGUGCCUUCAGGGUAGCUUCGGAGUGGUUCCUCGGGUUCCUCAUUUCCCAGCGUGGAAUCGAGGCCAACCCCAAAAAGAUAAAUGCGAUCAUCGACAUGCGGCACCCGAACACCAAAAAAGAGGUGCAGCAGCUCAACGGAAAGGUCAUCGCGCUCAGCCGAUUUAUCUCUCGAUCGGCUGAGAGGUGCCUCCCAUUCUUCAAAACCCUGAGGCAGACGAAAGACAUUUCUUGGCCGAAUGAGUGCCGGCAAGCCUUUGAAGAUUUGAAGAAGUACCUGGCCUCUCCGCCCCUGCUUGCAAAGUCGGAGGUCGGAGAAACAUUGUACCUUUAUUUGGCCACCACUCCAGAGGCUGUUACUUCGGUACUCGUCCGGAAGAACGAGAGCCGAAUUCACCAGCCCAUAUACUAUACCAACAAAGUGCUCCACGAGACCGGAACUCGGUACUCGAGGGUGGAGAAGAUGAUAUUUGCCCUGCUCAUAUCUGCGCAACGACUCCGUCCGUAUUUCCAAGCACACGCCAUCGUGGUCCUCACCGACCAGCCCCUGAGGGCGAUCCUCCACCGCCCCGACACAUCAGGACGACUGGCAAAAUAGACGGUAAGGUUGAGCGAGUUCGACAUCCAGUACCAACUGCGACCUGCUUUAAAAGCCUAAGUCUUGGCCGACUUUAUUGCGGAAUGCCCGACAGCCGACCAAAUAUCGGAAGACGGGAGCUCCAAGGAAGCUGCGACUUCUGAAUUUGACCCUGGGUCAACCUGGGUGUUACACAUAGAUGGAGCUUCCAAUGCCCAAGGGAGCGGGGUCGGGUUCCUGCUCACCAACUUGGAGGGAGUGGUUACCGAGUACGCCCUCCGAUUCGACUUCAAAGCUUCCAACAAUCAAGCCGAGUACGAAGCGCUUCUCGCUGGCUUGAGAGUGGUGAAGGAGCUCGGGAUCGACAGCCUCAGAGUCUUCUCCGACUCCUAGCUGAUUGUGGGGCAAGUCAAAGGCGAAUUCNNNNNNNNNNNNNNNNNNNNGACGGAUGCGGACUACGCACUCAGGGAGGUGCAUGAAGGGAUCUGCGGGAGUCACUUGGAGGACAAAUCCUUGGCCUACAAAGUCCUUCGGCAAGGUUACUACUGACCCACCAUGAAGAAAGAUGCGGCUGACUUGGUUCGGAGGUGUGAGCCAUGUCAGAAGUAUGCUAACUUACAACACCGGUCCGCCAACCAACUGACUCCCAUUGUCGCCCCAUGGCCCUUCGCCCAAUGGAGGAUCGACAUACUCGGCCCUUUCCCUCCGACAUCUGAUCAAAGAAAGUUUAUAGUUGUUGCGAUCGACUACUUCACUAAGUGGGUGGAGGCCGAACCUCUGGCGCAGAUUACCGAGCGUAAGAUGGAAGACUUUGUCCAGAAGUCCAUCAUCUUUAGGUUCGGACUGCCGCACACCAUCAUCACCGACAAUGGACGACAAUUCGACAACAAUGACUUCAGAAAGUUUUGUGUGAGAUUUCAUAUCACGCACAGACUGACCUCGGUCGGCCAUCCACAGUCCAACGGAGAAGUCGAAGUAACCAACCGAACCAUUCUGCAUGGGUUGAAGACUCGACUGAAUGAAGCCAGAGGCCUCUGAGUCGAAGAGUUGCAUUUGGUCCUGUGGACAUACCGAACGACACCCCGGGCCCCGACUGGGGAAUCUCCUUUCAGCCUGGCAUACGGGACGGAGGCCAUGAUCCCACUAGAGAUUGGGCUACCAUCGACUAGAGUUGAGCAAUACUGUGAACCGGGCAAUUUCGAGUGUCGGAGAGCUGAUUUGGACCUCUUGUCCGAGCUCCGACGCGAGGCUCAACUCCGCAUGACUUCCUACCGACAAAGAAUGGCCCGAUACUAUAACGCUAAAGUCAAGCCAAAAUCUUUCAGACCUGGAGACCUGGUCUUGAGGAAGGCGGAAGUCUCGAAGCCUCAGGAUCAAGAAAAACUGUCUCCAAACUGGGAAGGACCCUACAAGAUUGCAGACACCUGCAGGCCGGACGCCUACCGACUUGAAACCCUGGAAGGGACGGCCAUUCCCCGGACCUGGAAUGCUGACAACCUGAAAUUGUAUCACCAAUGAACUCUGUAUGCUCUUCUUGCUCGGAAUACAAUACAAUUUCAUAACUCCAGAGUCUACAAAGUUUGGCUCCCCGCCGAAGGUCGGCCGUGUCGAAAUACGGGCCUCGACAUCCCGACUUGGUCCCAACGUCUCGCUGGGAAUCUACGACUCGAUCGCCAAAUCUACGACUUUACACCAAAUCUACGACGCCGAGUCACCGAAUCUACGACUCGAUCGCCGAAUCUACACCGAGCCUAUGGCUCAAUCGCCGAACCGACGUCCUUCGCCUUUAAAGGCAAAGGGCUUCGACUAACGCGGCUGGCUAACUUGCCCACUUAGUUUUAACUGGGAAGGGCAAAAUGCCAAGACAACCGCGACGUACCCGCCCGACCAAAGUCUGAGCAACGGGUAUUCGACUUACGACAUACCGACUUGGUUAUGACCGGUCGAAGGAUAUUCGGCUUGCCAUCGUUUAUCAUACGCCGCGACGUACCCGUCUGACCAAGAUCUAGGCAACGGGUAUUCGACCUACAACAUACCGACUUGGUUACGACCGGUCGAAUGAUAUUCGGCUUGCCACCGUUUAUCAUGCACCACGACGUACCCACCCGACCAAGGUCUGGGCAGUGAGUAUUCGACUUACCACAAACUGACUUGGUCACGACCGAUCGGAAGAUAUUCAGUUUGCCACCGUUUAUCAUGCGUCCCGACGUGCACGUCCGACCAAGGGCCGGACAACGGAUAUUCGACUCUUCAUCAUUAUCCUAUCCGAAUACGUCGGGCACUACUCGACUACCUGACUCUACGGAAUGAUCGUGCCAACGGGCUACAUUCGCUAAUCGAUCGACACUCGGCCUGACGUACGCGCUCGACCAAGGUUCGGGCGGCGGACGCUAGACCCUACCGAACGUUCUAGUGAGAUAUGUCGGAGCUAUGACCUAUGCACUCGGAGAUGGUUUGGACGAUCAAACGCAUUCAACCGCAUGCGAAAAAAGGUGUGAAAGGUCUUUGAUUUUACUAAGUCAAAAUUGGGCCGAAGCCCGAUUACAAGGUGGAACGAAGUCCGAUUACAAAUAUCAAAGACUAAACAGUAAAAAGAAAUACAAAGAUAACGGGCAGAUAUCCCGACUAUUCGUCGGAGUCGACUUCUUGCAUCGGGUGGAGUUCGGGAGCAACCGACGUGCCCGCUCGGGUCGGGGAGGGAUCGGGGGUUGGAGCCGCCUCAUCCUCGGCAACUCGUUCUGUCGGCAAUGGGUCGGCCUCUCCCGCUGCGGCUUGAUCCUCCGACCAUGGAGGGACGAUGCCGCUCAAGUCAAGCUCCGGGUGCAGACUCUGAAUCGCGUCCUGGGCAUCCUCGUACCCCACCCGAUAGGAGACGAAGCCGCUCUCGAGGAGCUCCUCCCGGUACUCAUUCGAGUCACGAAAGUCCUCCACCGCCCGACUCAGUGCCUCCUUGGCCGACUUCGCCUCCGCCUUCGCUAUGUCGGCGUCGGCUUGGGUGGAGGAUAAGUUCUCCUCAGCCUUGGCCAGGUUCUCCAGGAUAACGCGAAGCUGUUCGUGCUCGACCUCGAGCUCCCUGACGCAGCCGUCCCGCUCCCGCCGCAAUCGGUGAACGGAGCGGGUCUUGCGCUGGAUCUGCUCAUGAGCCGACUGAAGCUCGACCUCCGAGGUGGCUAGGUCGUUACCAAGUCGGGAGAUCUCCUCCUCGAGCCUAGCCUCACGGUCGACCGACAACGGUCGACCGACAACUUCAGCUGGUCGACCAGCGUCGCCUUCUCAGCCUCGGCGAUCUCGGUCCUUUUCUUCCAGACCGUCCGGAAGUCGCCGAACCUCCGAUACCCAGCCUCCAGCUCGGACAUAUUGUAGAUCAGCUGCAGGCAGAAGGCCGGUUGUCAAAAAACCGAACCGAUAGAAAACAGUAAUGAAGGAGAAAAAGGAAGAAGAGGAGCACACCUGGAUCAUAGUCGGAUAAAAAGAAGAAAGCAUGUCGGUCACCAAUCGACUCUUCAUGAUCUCCCGGUCGGUCGGGAGGAUGGUCGCCUGGCACAACCUCCUGGCCAAAUCAUGGUUGGCCAGGGCCGACGCUCCUUCGAGAAGCUGAACGCCAUAUGACGUGGCACGGUCCGCCGACCUUGUGUCGUCGCCCGACGCCAUCGGAGCCUUCCCUCGUUCGGCCGCCCAGGCCUAGAAAUCAGAAAGAGACGGGAAGCUCGAGCUCGACUGGGUCCCACCCGAGGCCGCGACGCCCGCCGCCGCAGGUUGUUCGGGCUCACGUGCUUCGGCCCGAAUCUCUUCCGUGAGCGGGGGAGCCGACGCUCCUUCGGCUACCCCCUCGGCCGCCCCUUCCUUGGACGGCGCCUCAGGUGGCACCGCCGGCGCUGACAGAGCGAUGACCGGCUCGUGGCCCGACACACGUUCGGCGUCGGGCUGUGCUGCCGCCGUCGCAAGAUCAGUCGGCGAUGCUAUCUGAGGCCUCUUGGGAGGCCGCAAAGGUCCGGCCCCGAACGCCGGUCUCUUCCUCGUCGCAUGUUGCCGAAUAUCGACGUCGGUCAGCCUCAUUCUCGGCGGCAUCCCUGCAAUUUCAACAAAGGGUCAACACAAGUCCAAAGACGGACAGAAAAGACAAAGGACGACCGACAGACCGAGAUGUACCUAAACGGAGAACCGAACUUAAGCCGACGUCGUACAGAGCUUGCUCGGUGACGAGCUCCCUCUACUUCGGCAUCGACACAUCCUUCAGCCGGUGAAAGUUCUCUCGAUCUCCAUCCUCCAUCCGGCUGUUUUCGUUUNNNNNNNNNNNNNNNNNNNNUCGACGAGGGAAGACCGGUGAUGAACGACAGACCCUUCCGAAGAUUGAAGAACCACCACCCUCGGGGCUUUCGGGUGGGGUCGGAGGACGAAGAACGUCCGGAAGAAAGAAAUACGAGGAAAGAUCGGCAAAAGCUGACACAGUAAUGCAAAAUUGAUUAUCAACCGGACUGAGUUCGGCGCCAGUUGCGCCGAACAAAGUCCGUAGUAAUCUAAGACGUUCCGGACGAACUCCGGAAUCGAAAAGCGAAGGCCUGUCUGAAGGUCCUCGACAUAGAAGGCCACCUAAUCUGGAGACGGGUUUUUAACCCGAUCCUCGGCCCCAGGGGCGAAGAGUUCGAACUGCUCUGGGAUACCGUACUGCUCCCUGAGCCGUUCGACGUUCUACCCCGAAAGUGAAGAAGCCUCCACCUUCGGGGUCGACCGAGAAUCGUCGGUCGGGUUCCCCGACUGACUUCCUCGAGGAGAGGUCCUAGCCAUAACGCUAGCCCCAGAAAGAAGAACAAAGAGAAAAAUGGCGAAGAAGAAAGGAGGCAACGAAACAGGCACAGAAAGGAAAACUUCGAAAGAAGCCUUCAAAAGAAGAGCACGAAGACAACUACUUGGGACUGGGGGACAACUCGACAAAACCUCAGUGCCAGGAGCAGAUUUGCAGCGAAAGUGGAGUUUCGGAUGUAAGUGGCCGCAUAUAUAUAAGACCCUUCAACGGUCGAGAUGAAAGCACGACGAACGAGGGCUUCCCGGAUGCCGACGCAUGGCAGCACCUGGGCCCUUCCUCAGUCUGACGGUCCGACUCACCUGCCCCCAGAUCGAGCCACGUCGCCUCCAUCCGCGCAAGCGGUUCCGGCCCAAUGGCCCCCUGACACGUGGCAGGAAAAAAGCAUCUCGAAAUUCGUUAACCGACGGCGGUCCCUAUUCCCAAGGAGACGGCCGUUCGCGUUCCCAAUGGAACGUCUGACACCGGAUCGUUCAUUCAUACGAUCGCCAGAGUCGGAGCAUGACGUGAUGGAUAACUACUCCUUUCGCCUGAAGCCGUCGCCCACGUGGAAGUACUGGCCAAUACGCCGUCCGACUCAGGAGUGGAGGGGGCAACUGUUGGGAUAUACCGACCGAUCCCUUUACGCCGACUUACCCUCGAAUCUGUCCGACCAACGACCGACUCUAUCGACCGGCCCGACUGACGGCUCCGACAAUGACCGCCGACAAUGGCUCUCGACGAUAUCCGACUGAAGGUAUGUCGGUCGAACAGACUCAUACUGUUUUCCGACCGACCAAGUGGCCGAGCCCAAAUCACCGACCCGCUGUCGGGGAUAACAGCCAACGUCCGACUUCCGCAAGGCACCAGACCAGCCGAUAGUGUCCCUGGGACAUCACCCGACUCUCGACAGUUGAAUACCGAUAUAUAGUCGGUCGGGCCACCCAAAUGCCGUACGACCGCUAUGGACAGCUGUCCUAUCAAGGACAUGCGGCAUGGCCGCUCUGGGGCAUUGUUCUGUCAAGGACACAGACUGAUCCCAGUAACUUGACAGCCCGCAGUGAUUUGACAGCUCGCGGCGAGUUGACAGCUCCCGGUGAUUUGACAACUCCUCAGUUGUCUGCACCAUUAAUGAUGGGAUCAUACCAUAUUCUACUAUAAAAGGGGGUAAGGCAACAGUAUUGGAGAGAUCUCAGGUCCUAAGUCCCGAGGGCUAAGUCUCAUAAAGCACCUCUUAGCUCUUGAGCUCUCUCUCUCUCUCCCACUGAGCCCCUGAUUUUUCACUGUUGCCUAGUCUCCUCUCUGUCUUGACCAUCGGAGGGUCCCCGUUGGAGGUAUCUCCGGUCUGUGAAGGCUUUUCUUGCAGGUGCGUGACACCGGCGAUCGGGCGAUGGGGGGAUUGGCCGCAACAAGUUUAAAAGUGAGGGUCUGAAAUUGUUACAUCAGAAUUUGACUCAGAAUCUUCCCAUUUCUCUUUGAGGUCUUUUACAUCACUCGAUAAUUCGGAUGAAGUAAAAGAACCGCUAACAAGAGGAAGAAAGCAACAUAAUACACCAAAAGCUACUCGCUCGACCGCUUAAGAACAGAACGAAAUAGAAGAAGAUCGCUCAAUCAGCCGGAAAGAACGGC
rnacentral:lncRNA from 1 species